rnacentral:rRNA from 1 species
AUGGCACGAGGAACCAUGGUACCCACCCUUCUGCUGCUGCUUCUGGCUAUUUUCUGUGCGACCACCGUCGUCCACAGCAAGGAAUGGAACGUGGGUCGCCAGGACGGAUGGUUCUUCAGCAUCUCCAAUUGGGGGGACGACAAGCCAAUCAAGGUCGGCGAUGUGCUAGUGUUCAAGUACAAGGCAAUUGCGCACAACGUGGUGCAGGUCUCAGAAGAAGACUACAACGCAUGCACGGUCUCUCGCCCGUCGCCGACCUACCGCUCCGGCAAUGACCACAUUAAGGUCACCAGCAGUGGCAGAUUCUUCUUCAUAUGUUAUGUGAAAACUCCUUUACACUGUGAGAAUGGCAUGAAGAUAGCCAUCACUGUCCAAUAG